GCACCCGUAGCUCAGCUGGAUAGAGCGUCGCCCUCCGAAGACGAAGGCCACACGUUCGAAUCGUGUCGGCUGCGCCA
rnacentral:tRNA from 1 species